rnacentral:rRNA from 1 species
AAAAUGACUGAGCGGCGAACGGGUGAGUAACGCGUGAGCAAUCUACCUUAGUUACAGGGAUAGCCCGAGGAAACUCGGAUUAAUACCUGAUAUUCUUUAUAUUUCGCAUGAAAUUAAAAGGAAAGGUCAGCCGAACUAAGAUGAGCUCGCGUUCUAUCAGCUAGUUGGUGAGGUAAAAGCUCACCAAGGCUACGACGGAUAGCUGGUCUGAGAGGACGAUCAGCCACACUGGGACUGAGACACGGCCCAGACUCCUACGGGAGGCUGCAGCAGGGAAUAUUGCGCAAUGAGCGAAAGCUUGACGCAGCGACACCGCGUGUGGGAUGACGGAUCUAGGUUUGUAAACCACUUUCAGGAGGGAAGAAAAUGACGGUACCUCCACAAGAAGCCCCGGCCAACUACGUGCCAGCAGCCGCGGUAAUACGUAGGGGGCGAGCGUNGUCCGGAUUUAUUGGGCGUAAAGAGCUCGUAGGCGGUUCAACAAGUCGGUCGUGAAAGUUCAGGGCUCAACCCUGAAAUGUCGAUCGAUACUGUUGUGACUA